UACGGUGGGAGCAAGCGUUGUUCGGAUUUACUGGGCGUAAAGGGCGGGUAGGCGGCCACCGCAAGUCAGUUGUGAAAUCUCCGGGCUUAACCCGGAAAGGUCAACUGAUACUGCGGGGCUAGAGUGCAGAAGGGGUAACUGGAAUUCUCGGUGUAGCGGUGAAAUGCGUAGAUAUCGAGAGGAACACCUGCGGCGAAGGCGGGUUGCUGGGCUGACACUGACGCUGAACUGCGAAAGCUAGGGGAGCGAACGGG
rnacentral:rRNA from 1 species